UACGUAGGUGGCGAGCGUUGUCCGGAAUUACUGGGUGUAAAGGGCGUGUAGGCGGGGAUACAAGUCAGAUGUGAAAUUCCACGGCUUAACUGUGGCGCUGCAUCUGAAACUGUGUCUCUUGAGUGCUGGAGAGGAAAGCGGAAUUCCUAGUGUAGCGGUGAAAUGCGUAGAUAUUAGGAGGAACACCAGUGGCGAAGGCGGCUUUCUGGACAGUAACUGACGCUGAGGCGCGAAAGCGUGGGGAGCAAACAGG
rnacentral:rRNA from 1 species